rnacentral:tRNA from 1 species
CAGAUUAUAUUAUAGUAUUAAUUUUUAUUUACAUUAAAAAUUUAUUUGUGCAAUUCAAAUUGAUCUGA